GAUGAACGCUGGCGGCGUGCCUAAUACAUGCAAGUCGAACGCUGGAAAUCUAGCUUGCUAGAUUGAAGGAGUGGCGAACGGGUGAGUAAUACAUAAGCAACCUACCCACGAAGACUGGGAUAAUCUCUGGAAACGGGGACUAAUACCGGAUAGGUAAUCGGAAGGCAUCUUCUGAUUAUUAAAGGUUAAAAACACUGGUGGAUGGGCUUAUGGCGCAUUAGUUAGUUGGUGAGGUAACGGCCCACCAAGACGAUGACGCGUAGCCGGCCUGAGAGGGUGAACGGCCACAUUGGGACUGAGACACGGCCCAGACUCCUACGGGAGGCAGCAGUAGGGAAUUUUCGGCAAUGGGGGAAACCCUGACCGAGCAACGCCGCGUGAGUGAUGACGGCCUUCGGGUUGUAAAGCUCUGUUGUAAGGGAAGAACGGUAGAUAGAGAAUAUCUAAAUGACGGUACCUUACCAGAAAGCCACGGCUAACUACGU
rnacentral:rRNA from 1 species